rnacentral:rRNA from 1 species
AGCAGCCGCGGUAAUUCCAGCUCCAAUAGCGUAUAUUAAAGUUGUUGCAGUUAAAAAGCUCGUAGUUGGAUUUCGGGGUUAGUAGGUUGGUCAUGCCUCUGGUAUGUACUGGUCUCACUGAUUCCUCCUUCCUGAUGAACCUUAAUGCCAUUAAUUUGGUGUUGCGGGGAAUUUGGACUGUUACUUUGAAAAAAUUAGAGUGUUUAAAGCAAGCUAACGCUUGAAUACAUUAGCAUGGAAUAAUGAAAUAGGACGUUCGAUCCUAUUUUGUUGGUUUCUAGGAUUGACGUAAUGAUUAAUAGGGAUAGUUGGGGGCAUUAGUAUUCAAUUGUCAGAGGUGAAAUUCUUGGAUUUAUUGAAGACUAACUACUGCGAAAGCAUUUGCCAAGGAUGUUUUCAUUAAUCAAGAACGAAAGUUAGGGGAUCGAAGACGAUCAGAUACCGUCGUAGUCUUAACCAUAAACUAUGCCGACUAGGGAUCGGAUGAUGUUAAUUUUUUAAUGACUCA